CAGUUUCUGAGUUGUUUAAGAGUUUGAACAUGCUUAAAAUCAUCAAGCAAAGUUGUUUGGUUAGUCACAUGAGCUGUUGAAUCACUUCCCUACGAAUUUGGGUUUGAAACCACCAAAAUCAAGUUGUUUUUCUGGUGCAGUCACAGUUACAGCCACUGUUUUGGAUUUUCAUUUGCAAAUUCAUUUCUGGAUUGUGGAAAAAGCUGGUUCAGUGACUGAAAAUGAAAAUAAAUGAGUAAAAGAAGCAACAUCAAGUGUUAAAAAGCUUAAAGAACCAUGCAAUCCAGUUUACAAGCCCUGAAAGUCAAAAACUCAAAAUCUGAAAGUUCAUUGGGGUAUUUUAACAGACACUUUGGUAAAAUAUCAAACAGUUUGGUCUGGAUGAGUCUGUGAUCUGCCAUUUCGAUUUUUUAUUGCUUUCUUAAUCUGUUCUAGUGCCUUUAUUAGGUUCCUUUUGUGUGCUUGCUAUUAUUCCAUCUCCAUUCUCUUUUGUUUUCCACAUUAUUGGCCUCCAAACUGUCACAUAUUCUUCAAAUUGAAUUGGAAUUCUGGUGCAGUUUUCUAACCUCUGUUUGGUGCAUUUGAAAUGGAUUUUGAGGUGCUAUGGUAAUCUUUGAGAGGUAUCCAGUAGCAGAAUUCUUCAUCUAAGGUGGUAGCAUUUUAGGAAGUGAAAAGGGGGCUGAAGUGGGAACCAAUAAGGUGCUUUUGAUCAGCUGCAACUCUGCUGUCCAGCAGCUGAAAAUACACCAGAAAAGUGGAAAAAGGCAAUCUGUUUUGAGUGGAAUUCUGCAGCAGCAACAGUUUGCAAUU
rnacentral:lncRNA from 1 species